UACGGGGGGAGCAAGCGUUGUUCGGAUUUACUGGGCGUAAAGGGCGCGUAGGCGGUCAGCACAAGUCAGUUGUGAAAUCUCCGGGCUUAACUCGGAAAGGUCAACUGAUACUGUGCGACUAGAGUGCGGAAGGGGCAACUGGAAUUCUCGGUGUAGCGGUGAAAUGCGUAGAUAUCGAGAGGAACACCGGUGGUGUAAACGGCUCUCUGGACCGUAACUGACGCUGAGGCACGAAAGCGUGGGUAGCAAACAGG
rnacentral:rRNA from 1 species